GACGAACGCUGGCGGCGUGCUUAACACAUGCAAGUCGAACGAUGAAGCUAGAGCUUGCUCUGGUGAAUUAGUGGCGAACGGGUGAGUAACACGUGAGUAACCUGCCCCGAACUCUGGGAUAACUGCUGGAAACGGUAGCUAAUACUGGAUACGACCUACGAAGGCAUCUUCUGUAGGUGGAAAGAAUUUCGGUUCGGGAUGGACUCGCGGCCUAUCAGCUAGUUGGUGAGGUAACGGCUCACCAAGGCGACGACGGGUAGCCGGCCUGAGAGGGUGACCGGCCACACUGGGACUGAAACACGGCCCAGACUCCUACGGGAGGCAGCAGUGGGGAAUAUUGCACAAUGGGCGCAAGCCUGAUGCAGCAAUGCCGCGUGAGGGAUGACGGCCUUCGGGUUGUAAACCUCUUUUAGUAGGGAAGAAGCGAAAGUGACGGUACCUGCAGAAAAAGCACCGGCUAACUACGUGCCAGCCGCCGCAGUAA
rnacentral:rRNA from 1 species